GAUUUUCCACCCCUUAUUUCCAUAAAUAAUUUUAUUGGCAAAGCACUGAGUAUCCCGCACUGCAUAAGCUCGAUCUAUAUAAACCCUAGAAGACCCCAACUUUACAGCAUCCUCACUCAGCCGCUCUAUUGUAUUCUUUUCUUAGUCUCAUUCUAAGAGCAAAAUCGCUUUGCUAUUGCCGUCUGAUGGUUAAGUUUAUCGUACCAAUGGCAAAUUCCAAGCUCGUCUGCACUACUUUUUUUCUUCUUGUUAUGAUUCUUUCUCAUGAAGUUAUCACUUCAAAGGGAAGGCUACUUAAACCAGAGAGUCAAAGAUCGAGCGAGCGACUUAUAAAUGAAGAUCAUGAGAAGAGAAGCGCUUCCUUCAACUCCGUCAACCAUCGUUCCGGGCAAGAAGCACUUCCGGAGGCAACAGAUCCAGGUCACAGUCCAGGUGUCGGGCAUGCUGCCACUCAAAUUGAAACCAACAACUGAAAAUGGUUCAAAGAUAGCAUAUGUGUUAAAUGCAUUGAAAGUGUUAGAGAUGAUUGAUUAUCUAUUAGUAGAAAGUAUGCAUCAUGUAUUGUGUGUUGGUUUUUAGACGAUAUUGAAAUGAUCAUCUAUGUAUGCAUGUAAGUGGUUUUUAUGUCUAGAAUGUCUCGUUUGUUGCUAUUUUAUCUUAGGUGUGAUAUAUGAAGACGUGUGUCAUAUAGGUCAUUAAUUUUAUCUCAAAUAUGCUUUGUUCAAGUCGAUCUUCCUGCAAAGAUGAUUAGUCAACUUGUUGCUUGUAACAGUGAAGCAUCCCCGCACAUAAUCUUACCAUGGUCCAUAAUAUCGAAAGGAUCUUUAUGCGCA
rnacentral:lncRNA from 1 species